UACAGAGGGUGCAAGCGUUGUUCGGAAUUAUUGGGCGUAAAGGGCGCGUAGGCGGUGCGGUAAGUCUGUAGUGAAAUCUCUGGGCUCAACUCAGAGUCUGCUAUAGAAACUGCCGUGCUUGAGUGUGGGAGAGGUGAGUGGAAUUCCCGGUGUAGCGGUGAAAUGCGCAGAUAUCAGGAAGAACACCCGUGGCUAAGGCGGCUCUCUAGUACGGUACUGACGCUGAGACGCGAAAGCGUGGGGAGCGAACAGG
rnacentral:rRNA from 1 species